CAACCAAUCGAGCUGCUUCGUAGGGCGUGGCCACAGUGGGAGUCGUAAAGUUGCUCCCCGGGACUCGCAGGCUAAAAGGAGAAGUUAUGAUUAUGUAAUAGUGUGUUUUGUGUAUAUUCCAGCUAACUUUAUUUUUUUAAGUGGUACUGUCUCAAAAGGGGAAACAGGAUGUUCCAUUUGUCGACAAUGACGGGGAGGGUAUAGAUUUUACUAUCUUCUUAUAAUGUUAUUUAAAAUACAGUGAUUGUGCUAGAUAAGCCUUGUCACUGUUGUUGAAUUGUUUCCAACUCAAAAGAAAGUAGUAAUGUUUCAUGUACAUUUAUUUUCAUUUAGAUAUGUUGAUAAUUGUGAUCGGCGAAUCACCUGUGUAUUGUGGUACAUGCUCAUGAGCGUCCCUCUCUCAGUCUGUUUUGGAAACUGAGAGAGACAGUAGUCUGAGAAGAGGGUGUGUGGAACUGAUGCAGUCCCUGUCACAUGUUGUGUCAUUACAGGUAUGGUUGCCAAAGAAAAUAACCACUAUACGAUCAUUUCAAUUAAUGUUUUACUAUAUUGUGUAAAUGUUUUGUUAUCUUUAGACUGUGUAAAUGUUUUGUUAUGCUCAGUCUGUUUUGGAAACUGAGAGAGACAGUAGUCUGAGAAGAGGGUGUGUGGAACUGAUGCAGUCCCUGUCACAUGUUGUGUCAUUACAGACUCACUCAGUAAAGCAAAGAUCCAAAGAGA